UUGCUUGCUUUGACAGCACAUAUACUAAAAUCAGAAUAAUACAGAGAAGAUUAGCAUGGUCCCUGCACAAGGAUGACACACAAAUUUGUGAAGCAUUCCAUAUUUUU
ensembl:snRNA U6 U6 spliceosomal RNA